rnacentral:snoRNA from 1 species
AUGAAUCUAUUUGACACACUUGAAGCAGUUACUGUCUGCUAAGGUUUCCACUACAGAUGCAAGAAAAACAUCCUCGCGCUUUCUGCCUGUCUGAUUGUGGCAGUCCAGAUUGAAUGGGGGAACACAGGG